rnacentral:rRNA from 1 species
GACAGAGGUGCCAAGCGUUAGGCGGAAUCACUGGGCUUAAAGCGUGUGUAGGUGGAUUUGUAAGUACCUUGUGAAAUCCCAUGGCUCAACCAUGGAACUGCUCGGUAUACUGCGAAUCUUGAGCCACUUAGGGGCAUGCGGAACUUCCGGUGGAGCGGUGAAAUGCGUAGAUAUCGGAAGGAACGCCGGUGGCGAAAGCGGCGUGCUGGAGUCUCUUCUGAGCGCUGAGGCGCGAAAGCCAGGGGAGCAAACCGGGG